rnacentral:rRNA from 1 species
AGUGAACGCUGGCGGCGUGCCUAAUACAUGCAAGUCGAACGGAGUGGCGCACGGGUGAGUAAUGUAUAGCUAAUCUGCCCUACCCUAGAGGACAACAGUUGGAAACGGCUGCUAAUACUCUAUAAUGUAGGAUGAGGCUAUAUUGUAUCAGCUAGUUGGUGAGGUAAUGGCUAACCAAGGCUAUGACGCAUAACUGGUCUGUGAGGAUGAUCAGUCACACUGGAACUGAGACACGGUCCAGACUUCUACGGGAGGGAGCAGUAGGGAAGAUUGCUCAAUGGGGGAGACCCUGAAGCAGCAACGCAGCGUGGAGGAUGACACUUUUAGGAGCAUAAACUCCUUUUGUUAGGGAAGCGGUACCUAACGAAUAAGCACCGGCUAACUCCGUGCCAGCAGCCGCGGUGAUAC